UCCCGGGCUGGGAGGGGGCAGAGGUGCCUGGUCCACCUGGGUAUGCCCUGGUCCAACAGGCUGGGGCUCCAGGGCCAGGCACUCCGAUACCUCCUGAAGCCAGCCACUGCCAGGCUGCUUAGUCAUCCCUGGGGCCUGGCACCCUUGGAGCUGGUGGGCCCUGUCAGAUGCCCCCGGGCUGCCCUUCUCCACCGCAUAGAUGGGGAGACUGAACCCGAGUGGGCAAGGCUUGCCCUGUCACACAGCCAGGACCAGAGCCACCGCCUGCCUCUCUCUGAGUACCCAGGGACCUAAAGUAAGGGCAACAGUGAGGUGGGCCCGUGCCCCAGGACGUCACAUGGGCCGGGGAGGGUGGCUGUGGGAAGGCCCAGGGGUGAAGGUUGGCUGUCAGGACCAGGUAGAUGGGCCUAUGUGAAGACUGGGGAAGGGAAGCUGGGGAAGGAGACCCCAGACCCUGCUCUGGGUUGGGGGAUCUUCGGGGGUCUCUUAAGCCCUUCACUUGGGCCCAGCGAAGAGGAGGGGGCUAAAGAGAAGCCUGGACUGGAGUCAUCCUCCCAGCCAUGAUUGAUGUGCCUGGGGGCCAACAGCCCGGUCUCCUACUGUACAGACGGGGAAACUGAGGCCCAGGGUACGAGCGCCUGGCUCAAGGUCAUACAGUCGGGCAGCCGGAGCGACUCGGACCCAAGGCUGCGGGUUCCCCAGCCCCUCUGUGCUGUCCAGGGCACGUUAGAUACGAGAUGCGGGUGGCCCCAGGGCGAGGCCCGGGUGGACCCCACACGCGGACAGGGAAGUGUCGGGGAGUCCC
rnacentral:lncRNA from 1 species